rnacentral:rRNA from 1 species
AUUGAACGCUGGCGGCAGGCCUAACACAUGCAAGUCGAGCGGAUGAAGGGAGCUUGCUCCUGGAUUCAGCGGCGGACGGGUGAGUAAUGCCUAGGAAUCUGCCUGGUAGUUGGGGAUAACGUCCGGAAACGGGCGCUAAUAUCGCAUACGUCCUGAGGGAGAAAGUGGGGGUUCUUCGGACCUCACGCUAUCAGAUGAGCCUAGGUCGGAUUAGCUAGUUGGUGGGGUAAAGGCCUACCAAGGCGACGAUCCGUAACUGGUCUGAGAGGAUGAUCAGUCACACUGGAACUGAGACACGGUCCAGACUCCUACGGGAGGCAGCAGUGGGGAAUAUUGGACAAAGGGCGAAAGCCUGAUCCAGCCAUGCCGCGUGUGUGAAGAAGGUCUUCGGAUUGUAAAGCACUUUAAGUUGGGAGGAAGGGCAGUAAGUUAAUACCUUGCUGUUUUGACGUUACCAACAGAAUAAGCACCGGCUAACUUCGUG